AUUGAACGCUGGCGGCAGGCCUAACACAUGCAAGUCGAACGAGUGGCGGACGGGUGAGUAAUGCUUGGGAAUCUACCUUAUGGAGGGGGAUAACUACGGGAAACUGUAGCUAAUACCGCGUACCAUAGGAUGAGCCCAAAUGGGAUUAGUUUGUUGGUGGGGUAACGGCUCACAAAGCCGACGCUCCCUAGCUGGUCUGAGAGGAUGACCAGCCACACUGGAACUGAGAACCGGCCCAGACGCCUCCGGGAGGCAGCAGUGGGGAAUAUUGCACAAUGUGCGCAAGCCUGAUGCAGCCAUGCCGCGUGUAUGAAGAAGGCCUUAGGGUUGUAAAGUACUUUCAGCGGGGAGGCGUUACCCGCAGAAGAAGCACCGGCUAACUCCGUGCCAGCAGCCGCGGUAAUAC
rnacentral:rRNA from 1 species